UGAUUGGUCGCAGUAAGAUCGUCGGAGCCCCGAUGCACGACCUGCUGCUGUGGAACCACGCCACCGUGACCACCUGUCACUCAAAGACCCCUGACCUCCCCCAACAGGUGGGCCGGGCCGAUAUCCUUGUGGUGGGGCGGGGGGAGCCGAGAUGGUGAGAGGGGGAGUGGCUUAAAGACGGAGCUGUGGUCAUCGACUGUGGAAUCAACCACAUAGCAGAUAAGACGAAGGUUAGCGGUAAACGGGUCGUCGGGGACGUCCACUAUGCCUCGGCCAAUCACAGAGCAGGAUUCAUCACACCUGUUCCAGGGGGGGUGGGGCCUAUGACAGUGGCCAUGCUCAUGGAGAACACGGUGCAGAGCGCUCAGCGGUUCCUUCUAAAGAACCAGCCGAGGAGGUGAAACUAAAGAAAAACUCUAAAGGUGUCCACCUGUCAGUCUGAGGUCAAGGUUACAACAUGUCCCUCUGCAGGAUGAACAGGCUCUGUUGUCAUGGAAACAGCUGCAGAGAUGUCCCAGCUGUUUCCUGCUGGAGUCAACAGGAAGUGAUCAAUUAUGUGAUCAAUGUUUUGAUUAUUGAUUCCAUCAGUGUUAUUAUGUUUAAUGGAUCAUAAAUGUGAUUUGAAGUGUUAAUAAUAAAUAUUAAUCAUUUAUAUUGA